rnacentral:tRNA from 1 species
UGCGGCAUAGCUCAGCGGGAGAGCGCGGGACUCAUAACCCCGAGGUCGGUGGUUCGAUUCCAUCUGCCGCAACCA